rnacentral:rRNA from 1 species
AGGAGAUACACCUGUACCCAUGCCGAACACAGAAGUUAAGCCCUAGAACGCCGGAAGUAGUUGGGGGUUGCCCCCUGUGAGAUAGGGAAGACAUAGUUG